CUUUCUGGUGUGCCGGGCAGGCCUUCUGGAGCUCGCAUCGGCCAUUCUGGUGGGCCGGGUGGCCUGAAGAAGGCCCAAAGAAGGCCCGCAAGGCCCAAAGAAGCAGGCGGGGAGUGGCACCCCCGGAAUGAUUGCACCACCAGCGGCCGCUUAAAUGGCCUCACCAGUGGACUGCCUCUGUUGACUAGUACCAUAUUAUUUGUUGUUGUGUGCCUUUAAGUCACUUCUGACUGAUGACAACCAUAAGGUGAGACCUAUUACUGGCAAAUUUUAACAUUGGCUGGAUCAAACUCCAGGAGAAGAAACCUGAGAACUUCUCAGCAACUUACCAUCCAAUCUGCAACCUUCAGGUUCCUGUGGAAAUUUUUCAUGAACAUCAGCCUUAUUUCUCUCUUCUGGUAAAGUGAACCCUGAAUCUUCUGCAUACUCCAUCCUUUAUAAAAGUGAACAAAAUCUCAAGAAAACUUAAAAUUUAAAUUAAGUUUGUACAGGAAAUACAAUUGUAACUGUUGGUAAUAAAGAAGAAAUCCAAAUAACAAGAGACUGCAAUUAUAAAAGUAGUAUAGUACCUUGGCAAUCUUGGAAGGAAAGAUUUAGGAGUAUAACUAAAAUGUUUAAGAUCCAGUUUUGGAGAUUGAUUUGACAUCAGCAUCUAAAAUAAAGAGAUUAUUACAAUGUACAUGUAUGAUUAAAUAGCUUUGCUUUAUGUAUGUGCAAAUAAAACUAGAAAAUAAAUAUUUCUGACACCCUAUGA